CCUACGGGCGGCAGCAGUGAGGAAUAUUGGUCAAUGGGCGCAAGCCUGAACCAGCCAAGUCGCGUGAAGGAUGACGGUCCUAUGGAUUGUAAACUUCUUUUAUAAGGGAAUAAAGUGUGGCACGUGUCCCUUUUUGUAUGUACCUUAUGAAUAAGGAUCGGCUAACUCCGUGCCAGCAGCCGCGGUAAUACGGAGGAUCCGAGCGUUAUCCGGAUUUAUUGGGUUUAAAGGGUGCGUAGGUGGGCUGUUAAGUCAGUGGUGAAAGUUUGGGGCUCAACCAUAAAAUUGCCGUUGAAACUGGGAGGCUUGAGUAUAGUUGAGGCAGGCGGAAUGCGUGGUGUAGCGGUGAAAUGCUUAGAUAUCACGCAGAACUCCGAUUGCGAAGGCAGCCUACCAAACCAUGACUGACACUGAUGCUCGAAAGCGUGGGUAUCAAACAGGAUUAGAUACCCUUGUAGUC
rnacentral:rRNA from 1 species